AGAGACGGAGGCUAUACUCGACCUGUUUGUUGACUCUGGGAACAUUGAUGUGAACAUAACACAUUCCUCCCCCAUGCAGGCACAGGUGAGAUUUUAUUGGACACAUGCUCACCAUUUGCAGGACACAGACCUGACACGCAUGAAGAGCAUGUUAAAUGACAAUGGGGACAGUGGUGAAGCUGUUUGAGAUUCUGUAAUUUUAUUCUUCAUAAGCUGGCAGAAUUUUUCUCUUUAGUAAGCACUGUCUUCCUUCAGAAAAUCUACCUUCCUCUCUUCGCUAGCAGCAAUCAUAACUACAGACCAAGCUGUGUCAGCCUUAAAAAAAAGAGAGAGAGAGCCAAAUACCUGGUCUGGAAGGUGAAGAUGUCUCAUUUUGCUAUGGUUAUUAGAUUAUCAAUUUUCUCCCCUCAAGACCUGUGUGAUUCACAGGGAACACUAUUAGUCUGGCAAGAAUUAAUUACAGCCCUGACAAAGGUGACUUUCCAAACAAAAGCAAAAAGGCAAACUAGUCUCCAUGUGAAGUACCUGUGAAGGUAGGUUUGGCUAGGAUUCUAAACAGGAUUGUGGGAAAUUCUAUUAAAGAGCUCUUUUAAGUGCUCUUUUAAGUGAAAAACCAAGUAGGUGGGACUUGAUCCUGAGCUAUGACCAAAAAGGUGCAAUUAUCAGCAUUAUUUCAAUAUUUCAAAAAAUUAAGGCUUUCAUUUCAAUUUGAUUGAUCCCCUCACAGGUCAAAAAAAGUGACAAUUUUUUGAGGACUAGGGAUUGACAGUGAUAAAGAUUGAUUUCAUCUCGGCAUCAGAAGACUUGGGGAUGUUGUACACAUAAGUGAAGGAAGCCAGUCUGAGUGACUUGAAACAAAGGGAACCACGAAAGUGACUCUCUCUACAGUCAAUAUAUUCAACGAUGUGUCAUUAAUUUGAGAUCCUACUUGUUUCUCUUUCUUUCUGGAGAAUUAAUGUUGGGAAAGUGUUUGAAGCAAUCAAAUGAGUCUUUAAUGAUC
rnacentral:lncRNA from 1 species